rnacentral:rRNA from 1 species
AUUGAACGCUGGCGGCAGGCCUAACACAUGCAAGUCGAGCGGGGUUUUCGGACCUAGCGGCGGACGGGUGGGUAAUGCGUAGGAAGCUGCCCGAUAGAGGGGGAUACCAGUUGGAAACGACUGUUAAUACCGCAUAAUGUCUACGGACCAAAGUGUGGGACCUUCGGGCCACAUGCUAUCGGAUGCGCCUACGUGGGAUUAGCUAGUUGGUGAGGUAAUGGCUCACCAAGGCGACGAUCUCUAGCUGGUUUGAGAGGAUGAUCAGCCACACUGGAACUGAGACACGGUCCAGACCCCUACGGGAGGCAGCAGUGGGGAAUAUUGGACAAUGGGCGCAAGCCUGAUCCAGCCAUGCCGCGUGUGUGAAGAAGGCCUUCGGGUUGUAAAGCACUUUCAGCGAGGAGGAAGGGGUUGUAGUUAAUAGCUGCAACCUUUGACGUUACUCGCAGAAGAAGCACCGGCUAACUCUGUGCCAGCCGCCGCUGUAACAC